GGCAGCAGUAGGGAAUCUUCGGCAAUGGGGGGAACCCUGACCGAGCAACGCCGCGUGAGUGAAGAAGGUUUUCGGAUCGUAAAGCUCUGUUGUAAGAGAAGAACGUUGAGUAGAGUGGAAAGUUACUCAAGUGACGGUAUCUUACCAGAAAGGGACGGCUAACUACGUGCCAGCAGCCGCGGUAAUACGUAGGUCCCGAGCGUUGUCCG
rnacentral:rRNA from 1 species